AUUGAACGCUGGCGGCAGGCCUAACACAUGCAAGUCGAGCGGAUGAAGGGAGCUUGCUCCUGGCUUCAGCGGCGGACGGGUGAGUAAUGCCUAGGAAUCUGCCUGGUAGAUGGGGAUAACGUCCGGAAACGGGCGCUAAUACCGCAUACGUCCUGAUGGUGAAAGUGGUGGAUCUUUGGACCUCACCGUUUCAGAUGACCCUAGGUCGGGUUAGCUAGUUGGUGGGGUAAAGGCCUACCAAGGCGACGAUCCGUAACUGGUCUGAGAGGCUGAUCAGUCACACUGGAACUGAGACACGGUCCAGACUCCUACGGGAGGCAGCAGUGGGGAAUAUUGGACAAUGGGCGAAAGCCUGAUCCAGCAAUGCCGCGUGUGUGAAGAAGGUCUUCGGAUUGUAAAGCUCUUUAAGUUGGGAGGAAGGGCAGUAAGUUAAUACCUUGCUGUUUUGACGUUACCAAUAGAAUAAGCACCGGCUAACUUCGUG
rnacentral:rRNA from 1 species